rnacentral:misc_RNA from 1 species
AGUCGUAACAAGGUAACCGUAGGUGAACCUGCGGUUGGAUCAUUAACAAUAUGUUGGGUUGCUUUUUGUUGAGCGCCCGCUUAUUAUCAGUGCUGAUUUAAAGGGGUUAAAGCCUUUAAAUGAGUACUGGACCACACCAUUGUGAACUGUUAACCAACUCAGUAUUGGGUUAAACCCUUACUAUUGUUCUCGACACUCUUUACUGAGUGAAGGGCCUUUAGUGAGAUUAACCCUUUACAAUUAUAAAACAAACUGACCAAACCAAGUUUAAAAAACAAUUAAAGUUAAUGAAAAACAACUUUUGACAACGGAUCUCUUGGCUCUU